UUGAGACAGAGGACGUUCACACAGCCAGGGGCAUCACAAGCGAGGUCUGAGCACUGAAGAAUUAGCUGGAUGGAAGGGAUGGUGCUGUUCCUUUACCCAGCUGCCCCAGCCUAGGAUCAUGUUGCAGGCACCUGCAUAUCAGGGCAUUUUCAUAUUGAUGUUGUGCUCCCUCUGUGCUAACUGGUGCAUGGUGGGUAUGGAAGGAGUAAGCAGGCUUUCAAAGAAGACCAUUGCUGCCAGCCCCGCUCCCUGCAGCCCUGCCCAGGAGGACUGCCGCCUGGCCGUGAAGAGCUAGGAGCUUUGCUAAUGCAUCUGCUGCUUCUUGAGGAGCCUGACCUCAGGCCUUGGAGGAUGCUCUCCUGUUCAGGCACCUCCAGGAAAAUGCAGCACAGUGAGAGUUUUGGGGUCUGCUGGGAUCUCACAGCAAGUCAGAGAUUGCUGCCGGGACAAAGAGAAAUUGUCGAGGAUGAACACUUUGGCACAUGAACUGCGUUGUCUCAAAGAGAAGCAGAAUCGUUCCCUGCCUACCCACGGUGCAGCCCUUGGACACCACCAGGAGCUGAGCCUGUGCUGAGCGCUUACUCAUGUCCUCAACAGAGCAGUUUGAUGAGGUCUUCUGAGGAGGAGAAAGCUUUCAGAGACAUCCCGUGUGAGGAUUAUGGAAAGCAAAAGCUUCCCCCUGUUUUGCAGUCCUCGUUUUUCCUGCUGCGACUGGUACUGCGAUCGGAGCCGCAGAGAGACAGCAGGGAAGGGAAAGAUGGUCUUAGUGUCCCUGUGAGGAUGAAGGCUGGUUAGGGCUCAGCGAUGGAGUAUGCGUGCAGUAGUUAAUCUGAGAUAGUUUAACAGUUACGGUGAACUCGGACACAAACCAGCUCCCCUGCGUAUGUAGCCCACCCUAAGGUAUGUGGCAAUCGUACUGCACAAGAACAUCGCGAUUAGCUCUCUGGACUGCUUUAAUUGUUGAUGGAUAGUGAGAGGGGCACCGGAGACCUGCAUUCUGGCCCUGAUGUUGCCAAUGCCUGGAUGAGCGACCCUGAACUUGUCACUUCAUCUCUCUGGGGCAGUUUCCCCCUCACUCUGUGGUCUUUUUAUCACUGUGAAUCUUCUUGACAGGAAGGACAGCCUCCGGCUGUGUAUUGGCACCAUGUCAGUCUUAACUCCUGUCUUCCCUGUGGUCUCCCAGUGCUGCUAUAAUCUCAUAAUUCCUCAUAUUUGUAGCAAUAGUUCUACUGUUGAAUGCAAAUCUGUAUCAUUAUAUUACCACUAAUAGAUCAUUCACACCACUGUUUUUCCAAGUUCCUGAUAAUUUUUGUGUGAAGCGGUAAAUAGGAGCGGGGAAGUACUGAAAGUACUCUAGAUUGUCUGAAGAUGUGAAGUAAGUAAACAUAAA